rnacentral:rRNA from 1 species
AACGCGAAGAACCUUACCAACACUUGACAUGUUCGUCGCGACUCUAAGAGAUUAGAGUUUUCGGUUCGGCCGGACGAAACACAGGUGCUGCAUGGCUGUCGUCAGCUCGUGUCGUGAGAUGUUGGGUUAAGUCCCGCAACGAGCGCAACCCUCACUUUUAGUUGCCAUCAUUAAGUUGGGCACUCUGAAAGAACUGCCAGUGAUAAGCUGGAGUAAGGUGGGGAUGACGUCAAGUCCUCAUGGCCCUUACGGGCCGGGCUACACACGUGAUACAAUGGUGAUUACAAAGGGCUGCUAAAGAGCGAUCUCAAGCAAAUCCUUAAAAGUCAUCUCAGUUCGGAUUGCACUCUGCAACUCGAGUGCAUGAAGUUGGAAUCGCUAGUAAUCGUAGAUCAGCGCGCUACGGUGAAUACGUUCCCGGGUC